CAAAAUAUUUAGGAACAUAAAAUUUCAUUUCGUUUUGUACUAAAAUGCACUCUUUUGUACUCAAUGCAUAAGAAAUUGUAUGCUAGGUAUGUAGUAUGUACAUACAUAUCCUAACCUCAAAGUGCCAAAAACACGU